UUCGGCAGCACACAUACCAAAAAAAAAUUGGAACAAUACAGAGAAGAUUAGCAUGGCCCUGGCACAAGCAUAACAUGCAAAUUUGCGAAGUGUUCCAUAAAAAA
ensembl:snRNA U6 U6 spliceosomal RNA